rnacentral:rRNA from 1 species
AUACGUAGGGUGCGAGCGUUGUCCGGAAUUACUGGGCGUAAAGAGCUCGUAGGUGGUUUGUCGCGUCGUCUGUGAAAUUCCGGGGCUUAACUCCGGGCGUGCAGGCGAUACGGGCAUAACUUGAGUACUGUAGGGGAGACUGGAAUUCCUGGUGUAGCGGUGAAAUGCGCAGAUACCAGGAGGAACACCGGUGGCGAAGGCGGGGUUCUGGGCAGUAACUGGCGCGUAGGAUCGAAAGCAUGGAUAGCGAACAGGAUUUGAUACCCUGGGUGCCCAUGCCUUAAACGGGGGGCGCUAUGUGUAGGGGUCUUCCACGACUUCUGUGCCGUAGCAAACGCAUUAAGCGCCCCGCCUGGGGAGUACGGCCUCAAGGCUAAAACUCAAAGGAAUUGCCGGUG